GAUGAGCGAUCCCCCGUGUAAGACUGAGGUGGAGGAGGACAUUCCAGUCCAUGUGACCACAGAAAAUCCCAGUAAGAUCUCUGAGGGAAACUUCAUCUUAUCACUAAAUUAUAAAGGAGAAGAUGAAGAUAUCGGGAAUGGCUCUUCAGGAGAAAACCUCAUUACUUAUAAUGUCCAUCCAGGACUUCACAGAACAGAUCUGUCAUAUAAUGAUCCUAAUCAUAAGGAACCUUCUUCUGACCAAUCACAGAUUGUUAUCACAAGUACCGGGCCCAAAGAGGUUGCAAAUUUUCAGUGUGGGGAAUGUGGAAAACAGUUUACAGACAUCUCAGAUCUAUAUGCACACAGACGAAGUCACACAGGAGAGGAGCCAUAUUCAUGUUCAACAUUUGGGAAAGGUUUUAUGUAUGAAUCGCAAGUGAUGAAGCAUGAGGGAAUUCAUACAGCAGAGACGUCGUAUUCAUGUUCAGAAUGCGGUAAA